GUUAAACAUGGUUAAAGCUAAAUCGCUUGAAGUCCAGACCCAGCAUGGUACUCUUUCUACCACUAUAUUAAUAGUAAUAUAGAGAUGCUUUCAAAAAUGAAUAGUUUAUCGAUAUAGAACACUCAUAUGGAUAAAAUUUUUUGAACCACCUAUUAUAAAAUUAGAAAAAAAAGGGGGACGAAAUCCCCAUUUUUAUCCAAUGCUGAAUCGACGACCUAUGUAUUGUGUAUAAAGAAAGAAAAACUUUUUGGAUUUGAAAAAAAAGAAACAACUUUGCUGACAAUUACAUAUUUUUGUUUGGUCAGAAGAGUCCUCCGGCUAUUUUGGUUUUGGAUGAGUGAUUAGUUUCGACGAUAUUUUUAUUUUAUUUUUGAAUAUGAAGAGAGAAUAGAGGAUAGGCUCAUUACAUUCAAAAAAAGAUAUGGGAAUUUACCAUAAGUAAUUGAGCGUGAGAGCCAAAUGAAUCGAAAGAUUCAUGUUUGGUUCGGGAAGGGAUCAUGGAAGUUUUUAAAUGAAUGGAAAGAGAAUCUACUUUCAUUAAGUGAUUUAUUAGAUAAUCGAAAACAGAGGAUUUUGAAUACUAUUCGAAAUUCAGAAGAACUCCGUGAAGGGGCCAUUGAACAGCUGGAAAAAGCCCGGGCGCGCUUACGAAAAGUGGAAAUGGAAGCAGAUCAGUUUCGGGUGAAUGGAUACUCUGAGAUAGAGCGAGAAAAGUGGAAUUUUAUUAAUUCAACUUCUAAGACUUUGGAACAACUAGAAAAUUACAAAAACGAAACUAUUCAUUUUGAACAACAAAGGGCGAUUAAUCAAGUCCGACAACGGGUUUUCCAACAAGCCUUACAAGGGGCUCUAGGAACUCUGAGUGGUUGUUUGAACAACGAGUUACAUUUACGUACCAUCAGUGCCAAUAUUGGCAUCUUGGGGGCGAUGAAAGAAAUAACUGAUUAGUCCUNNNNNNNNNNNNNNNNNNNNNNNNNNNNNNNNNNNNNNNNNNNNNNNNNNNNNNNNNNNNNNNNNNNNNNNNNNNNNNNNNNNNNNNNNNNNNNNNNNNNUUGGAUAAUUGAUUUAUAGUUCAUAAUUGGGGAUAUUGGAGUCUUAAUCCUUAUUUACCUGAAUUCAAUCAAAUCUUAGUUUUGUUUAUUUGCUUUCUUUUAGACUAAUCUCUUUUAAUUGUUUAAUUUAGUUUUCUUAAUUAGAAAAUUCACAAUUUGUAAUUGUUUAGAUAAAAUUGAUUUGGUUAAGAGUUAGUAUUUGGUAAUUUUUAUUAAAUAAUUCCUCGUGGGAACGAUACUCUACUUUCACUUUAUUACUUGUUGACCGUGUAUACUUGCACGUAUUCAUUGAUUGCGAAAUCGAUCAACAAGAUCAUAUAAAAAAUGUGACCGAUUCUUGCAUUUCUUUGGGCCACUGGCCGUCCGCCGGGAGUUUCGGGUUUAAUACCAAUAUUUUAGCAACAAAUCUAAUAAAUCUAAGUGUAGUGCUUGGGGUAUUGAUAUUUUUUGAAAAGGGAAUGUGUACGAGUUGUUUAUUUCAAGAAUAGGCUGGAUCCAACCAGCUGUACUUUUUCCAUUAGAACUAAGAAAGAAAGGUGCAUGAUCUUACAAAUGACUUCUGAAUAAAUUAAUAAAUCAUAUGUAAGAAUGAUAACAUUUCGUGAUUCAUUGGUAAAUCUACUUUGAUUCUCUAUCAACCAAUAAUGUGGGACCGUUAAAUAUGGUUAAAGCUAAAUCGCUUGAAGUCCAGACCCAAUAUGGCACUCUUUCUACCACUAUAUUAAUAGUAAUAUAGAGAUGCUUUCAAAAAUGAAUAGUUUAUCCAUAUAGAACACUCAUAUGGAUAAAUUUUUUUGAACCACCUAUUAUAAAAUUAGAAAAAAAUGGGGACGAAAUCCCCAUUUUUAUCCAAUGCUGAAUCGAUGACCUACGUAUUGUGUAUAAAGAAAGAAAAACUUUUUGGAUUUGAAAAAAAAAGAAACAACUUUGCUGACAAUUACAUAUUUUUAUUUGGUCAGAAGAGUCCUCCAACUAUUUUGGUUUUGGAUGAGUGAUUAGUUUCGAUGAUAUUUUUAUUUUAUUUUUGAAUAUGAAGAGAGAAUAGAGGAUAUGCUCAUUACAUUCAAAAAAAGAUAUGGGAAUUUACCAUAAGUAAUUGAGCGUGAGAGCCAAAUGAAUCGAAAGAUUCAUGUUUGGUUCGGGAAGGGAUCA
rnacentral:lncRNA from 1 species